GAUGAACGCUGGCGGCGUGCCUAAUACAUGCAAGUCGAGCGAACAGACGAGGAGCUUGUUCCUCUGACGUUAGCGGCGGACGGGUGAGUAACACGUGGAUAACCUACCUAUAAGACUGGGAUAACUUCGGGAAACCGGAGCUAAUACCGGAUAAUAUAUUUAACCGCAUGGUUCAAUAGUGAAAGACGGUUUUGCUUUCACUUAUAGAUAGAUCCGCGCCGCAUUAGCUAGUUGGUAAGGUAACGGCUUACCAAGGCAACGAUGCGUAGCCGACCUGAGAGGGUGAUCGGCCACACUGGAACUGAGACACGGUCCAGACUCCUACGGGAGGCAGCAGUAGGGAAUCUUCCGCAAUGGGCGAAAGCCUGACGGAGCAACGCCGCGUGAGUGAUGAAGGUCUUCGGAUCGUAAAACUCUGUUAUUAGGGAAAAACAAAUGUGUAAGUAACUAUGCACGUCUUGACGGUACCUAAUCAGAAAGCCACGGCUAACUACGUG
rnacentral:rRNA from 1 species